GCCAGGCAUGUGGCGGGUGCCUGUAGUCCCAGCUACUCUGGAGGCUGAGGUGGGAGGAUCACUUGAGCCCAGGAGUUCGAGGCUGCAGUGGGCCAUGAUCAUGCCACUGUGCUCGCUCUGGCCUGGAUGACAGAGUGAGACCCCAUCUCUU
rfam:Nomascus leucogenys chromosome 16, whole genome shotgun sequence.